GAGGAGGCGCUUGGUGGCCGCAGGCAGUUUCACGGUGCCAAGGAGCUCUUCUUAUCUGACCAUUACGAUGUGCAGAGUGCUCACACUAUUGAAGGGAAGUGUACAGUUCACUCUUUUAAGAAUUAUACCAAGCUUGAGAAUGUUGGGGCUGAGGAUUAUUAUUGUAGGUUUGAGUACAAGGCUGCUACGGGAGGCUUCACGCCUGACCGCGUUGCUGUGUA
rnacentral:misc_RNA from 1 species